rnacentral:rRNA from 1 species
UACGUAGGGUGCGAGCGUUAAUCGGAAUUACUGGGCGUAAAGCGUGCGCAGGCGGCGCGUUAAGACAGGUGUGAAAGCCCCGAGCUUAACUUGGGAAUUGCGCUUGUGACUGGCGUGCUGGAGUGUGGCAGAGGGAGGUGGAAUUCCACGUGUAGCAGUGAAAUGCGUAGAGAUGUGGAGGAACACCGAUGGCGAAGGCAGCCUCCUGGGCCAGCACUGACGCUCAUGCACGAAGCGUGGGAGCAACAGG